UUCAUAGAGUGUAAAGGCAUAAGGGAGCUUGACUGCGAGACCUACAAGUCGAGCAGGGUCGAAAGACGGACUUAGUGAUCCGGUGGUUCCGCAUGGAAGGGCCAUCGCUCAACGGAUAAAAGCUACCCCGGGGAUAACAGGCUUAUCUCCCCCAAGAGUUCACAUCGACGGGGAGGUUUGGCACCUCGAUGUCGGCUCAUCGCAUCCUGGGGCUGUAGUCGGUCCCAAGGGUUGGGCUGUUCGCCCAUUAAAGCGGUACGCGAGCUGGGUUCAGAACGUCGUGAGACAGUUCGGUCCCUAUCCGUCGUGGGCGUAGGAAAUUUGAGAGGAGCUGUCCUUAGUACGAGAGGACCGGGAUGGACAUACCUCUGGUGUACCAGUUGUCGUGCCAACGGCAUAGCUGGGUAGCUAUGUGUGGACGGGAUAAGUGCUGAAAGCAUCUAAGCAUGAAGCCCCCCUCAAGAUGAGAUUUCCCAACUUCGGUUAUAAGAUCCCUCAAAGAUGAUGAGGUUAAUAGGUUCGAGGUG
rnacentral:rRNA from 1 species